AUUCAAAAUUUUUUAAUUUCAUACACUGAUAAGUCUACGUAAACCCAACUGAAAAACUCCUCCAACACUGUCCAGUUUACAUCAAAUGCAACCACCACCGACCAAUCAACCAAUAAAUGAAUUUCUGUACAAAAUUCCUAAAUAUCUAAGUUAAAAGCAGAGACUUAAAGAAAUUAUACAAUCUCUUUCUAAACCUGCUCUCCAAUAUUUCUGCGGAUCUAACCAUAUUCUAAGUGUAUGUCAUCUCAUUUCAACUGUACAGAGCAAGGCAGGCUCCUUCCCAAAAUACCUUCAGCUGUCAAUCUCGUAGAAUCAGAUUACUAUGAGCCUCCAGCAUUUUCAAGCCUAACUUGCUCAUGAGCUUUCAAAACCUCUGAAGUGAAGUUUCCUAAAGCCUCAAAAAUUGGGACCAAACCUGCUUGUAAACUAACUGAAGCUGCAUCAUGAACUAGUUUCUUAGCUUCCUUAUGUCUAAUUCUCUCUUCUUCUAAUUUCUUCCUCAUUGAAUCCAAAUCCACCUUCAGAUCAUCUAGGGGUGAAACUCCACUUUCUGAAGGAACCUUUGACAUAGCUUUAUCUGACAAUGCGUCCUGCUCCUGCAUGAUCCUUCCCCUCUCCAUGCGUAAGGUCUUUAGACGUUUCUCAAAAUCCUUUGUGAGGUACUCUGCUUUGAUCCUCUGACGCUGCUCCUCAUCUUGCCGUUCCCAUAAUUGAUGUAAGCUUGAAGCAAAGUUGAGCAUGGCAUUUUCCACCCCCUUCUCGGAAAUCCUGACCAUUGCUUGAUACCAAUCAUGGCAAACUACAAAAAUAGCUGGGGCACCCAUUCUGCUUGGGGAGAAAGGUGCAAUUCCAUCAGGAGUUUCUUCAGGUUCAAUGAUAAGGCACCUUAAUAGCCACUCGUUUAACGACUCAACAUAAGAUUUUUGGGUGUUAAUCCAAUUAUUAAAGCAGGUGCACCAAUUGAUUAGCUCUGUUUCAAGUUCAAGAGUAGCUCUCAAACCAGAAUCUCUUUGUAAACCAGUAUUUGCCUUGAGAGUG
rnacentral:misc_RNA from 1 species